GCGUUCCCAUGCAGGUCCAAUAAAGAUUUUUAUGGGAAACCCAGUCCCCAUAAAAGAGAGGAAUUCUGCAGAUGCUGGAAAUUCAAGCAACACACAUCAAAGUUGCCGGUGAACGCAGCAGGCCAGGCAGCAUCUGUAGGAAGAGGUGCAGUCGACGUUUCAGGCCGAGACCCUUCGUCAGGACUAACUGAAGGAAGAGUCAUUUAUAAAAAUCAGGAAGAGAAGGGGUCCCAGAACAGAUCCCUGAGGCACAUCACUGGUGACCGACCUCUAUGCAGAAAUAUAACCGUCUACAACCAUUGUUUGCCUUCUGUGGGUAAGUCAAUUCUGGAUCAACAAAGCAGUGUCCACUUGGAUUUCAUGCCUCCUUACUUUCUCAAUAAGCUUUGCCUUGGGUACCUUAUCAAAUGCCUUGCUGAAAUCCAUAUACACUACAUCUACUGCUCUACAUUCAUCAAUGUGUUUAGUCACAUCUUCAAAAAAUUUUAUCAGGCUCGUAAGGCACAACCUGCCUUUGACAAAGCCAUGCUGACUACUCCUAAUCAUAUUAUGCCUCUCCAAAUGUUCAUAAAUCCUGCCUCUCAGGAUCUUCUCCAUCAGACCUGGCUGACGGAGGAGAUACCGGAUCAUGCCAUUGAGUCCAUAAGACCAUAAGACAAAGGAGCAGAAGUAGGCCAUUCGGCCCAUCGAGUCUGCUCCGCCAUUUUAUCAUGAGCUGAUCCAUUUUAUCCUAUUUAGU